CUGAGUGAGGGCCUUCGGGCUCGACCUCCAACCCUUUGUGAACACAAACUUGUUGCUUCGGGGGCGACCCUGCCGUUUCGACGGCGAGCGCCCCCGGAGACCAUCAAACACUGCAUCUUUGCGUCGGAGUUUAAGUAAAUUAAACA
rnacentral:rRNA from 2 species